rnacentral:rRNA from 1 species
AGAGUUUGAUCCUGGCUCAGGAUGAACGCUAGCGGCAGGCCUAAUACAUGCAAGUCGAACGGAAUCAGGUAGCAAUACUUGGUUUAGUGGCGCACGGGUGCGUAACGCGUAUGCAACCUACCUUUUAUUGGGGGAUAGCCCGAGGAAACUCGGAUUAAUACCGCAUAACAUCACGAGAGGGCAUCUGAUUGUGAUUAAAGCUGAGGCGAUAAAAGAUGGGCAUGCGUGACAUUAGCUAGUUGGUCGGGGUAACGGCCCACCAAGGCGACGAUGUCUAGGGGUUCUGAGAGGAUGGUCCCCCACACUGGUACUGAGAUACGGACCAGACUCCUACGGGAGGCAGCAGUAGGGAAUAUUGGGCAAUGGGCGAAAGCCUGACCCAGCCAUGCCGCGUGCAGGAAGAAGGCCUUCUGGGUUGUAAACUGCUUUUAUCUAGGAAGAAACGACCCUUGCGAGGGGGCAUUGACGGUACUAGGUGAAUAAGCACCGGCUAACUCCGUGCCAGCAGCCGCGGUAAUACGGAGGGUGCAAGCGUUGUCCGGAUUUAUUGGGUUUAAAGGGUGCGUAGGCGGCUUAAUAAGUCAGUGGUGAAAUCCCAUCGCUCAACGAUGGAACUGCCAUUGAUACUGUUAGGCUUGAGUACAGACGAGGUAGGCGGAAUUGAUGGUGUAGCGGUGAAAUGCAUAGAUACCAUCAAGAACACCGAUUGCGAAGGCAGCUUACUAGACUGUAACUGACGCUGAGGCACGAAAGCGUGGGGAGCGAACAGGAUUAGAUACCCUAGUAGUCC